rnacentral:rRNA from 1 species
UGGCAUCACGAGGGCUUAACUGUCUCCCCUCCCCAGUCAAUGAAAUUGAUCUCCCCGUGCAGAAGCGGGGAUAAUACCAUAAGACGAGAAGACCCUAUGGAGCUUUAGACGUCAGAGCAGCCCAUGUAAAGCACCCCUUAACAAAGGAAAAAACCAAAUGAAGCCUGCCCUAAUGUCUUUGGUUGGGGCGACCGCGGGGAAAUACAAAACCCCCAUGUGGAGUAGGAAUACACAUUCCUAAACCCAAGAGCUCCCGCUCUAAUGAACAGAAAUUCUGACCAAUAAGAUCCGGCACACGCCGAUCAACGGACCGAGUUACCCUAGGGAUAACAGCGCAAUCCCCUUAAAGAGCCCUUAUCGACAAGGGGGUUUACGACCUCGAUGUUGGAUCAGGACAUCCUAAUGGUGCAGCCGCUAUUAAGGGUUCGUUUG